GGCUCAGUGGUCUAGUGGUAUGAUUCGCGCUUCGGGUGCAAUCCCCUUCUGCAGUUUGCAGGAACAUGUGCGAGGUCUCGGGUUCGAUCCCCGACUGAGCCC